rnacentral:tRNA from 1 species
GCGAGGGUUGCCGAGUCAGGUCAAAGGCGCUGGACUUAAGAUCCUGUGGCGUAGGCCUUCCGGGGUUCGAAUCCCCGCCCUCGCACCA